rnacentral:rRNA from 1 species
UACGGGGGGAGCAAGCGUUGUUCGGAUUUACUGGGCGUAAAGGGCGCGUAGGCGGCGUGACAAGUCACUUGUGAAAUCUCCGGGCUUAACUCGGAACGGUCAAGUGAUACUGUCGGACUAGAGUACAGAAGGGGCAACUGGAAUUCUCGGUGUAGCGGUGAAAUGCGUAGAUAUCGAGAGGAACACCUGCGGCGAAGGCGGGUUGCUGGGCUGAUACUGACGCUGAGGAGCGAAAGCGUGGGGAGCGAACAGG